rnacentral:sRNA from 1 species
GCCCGCGCGUGGAGGGUUGGGGUUAGCGGCCGCGGGGGCCGGUGGGGGUCGUGGGGCCUCCCCCACCCGAGUACAGGCGAGCGAGCGGCAUCCGGGCGGACCCCCGCCUCGGGGACCGGGAAACUGAGGCUCGGGCGGCCCCGAGACGCCGUCAAGGUCACGUGUCCCUGGCCAGUGUCCUUCCACCUGUCCACAAGCAUGGGGAACAUCUUCGCCAACCUCUUCAAGGGCCUUUUUGGCAAAAAAGAAAUGCGCAUCCUCAUGGUGGGCUUGGAUGCUGCAGGGAAGACCACGAUCCUGUACAAGCUUAAGCUGGGUGAGAUCGUGACCACCAUUCCCACCAUAGGUGAGGUGGGGGCCAGCAGGGAGUGGGCUGGGCUGGGCUGGGCCAAGGUACAAGGCCUCACCCUGCAUCCCGCACCCAGGCUUCAACGUGGAAACUGUGGAGUACAAGAACAUCAGCUUCACUGUGUGGGACGUGGGUGGCCAGGACAAGAUCCGGCCCCUGUGGCGCCACUACUUCCAGAACACACAAGGCCUGAUCUUCGUGGUGGACAGCAAUGACAGAGAGCGCGUGAACGAGGCCCGUGAGGAGCUCAUGAGGAUGCUGGCCGAGGACGAGCUCCGGGAUGCUGUCCUCCUGGUGUUCGCCAACAAGCAGGACCUCCCCAACGCCAUGAAUGCGGCUGAGAUCACAGACAAGCUGGGGCUGCACUCCCUACGCCACAGGAACUGGUACAUUCAGGCCACCUGCGCCA